GUCCGGGGUUGAACAGCUAGGAGUCUGGUCAGAGACCGAGGGGUGGGAAUAUGCCCAGACCCCCGCCUCAGAGGCCCAACGGCCACCUGCCGGGGUGACCUCGGGAGAGAACACCUGCCAGCCUGGUAGGCCUCAAUGAACACCACCCUCAAUACACAGGGAAGACUAAGGCCCACACCUGAGAAGGGGGGAAAUUUCUUCCUAGGGCCUGCGGAGAACCCAGCUGGCAGACCAAAGGACGACGUUUGAAUAUGCGUGUUGUCGUGUUCCUAUGGCACAAGUAGAUAUUCAAUACCUUAUAAAGCUGAAUGGGUUUUAUUUCCUAUUUCCAGAAAUACAAGGAAUAGGACAGAAGAUGCUUUCAAAAGACAUGGUGUAGAAUGGAUUGCGUAAGUCUUGUGGAAAGAACUAGAAGAUGUCUAUUUGGCACAUCUGAAGCAGUUGGAGUUUUGCACUGCUACUGCAAAAUAAAUGAUUCAUAUUAAGCCUCUGACUGUACAGUUCAGUAGUCAGCGAAGGAAAACAGGUGUCAUGAACACAGGCUGAAGCAGAAGUUUAUAUUUCUGUUAUAAAAAUACAAAAAUUCUGUUGUGAAUAUUUAGAAGUCUUUGUGUGAAAACUUGAUUCUAUAUUUCUGAAAAGCACUGGUAUAUUUAUUUUGUGUUCUGAAAAGGACCAGUUUGAGAUGACCUUGUGUAUUGUUCCAUUUAAUCCUCUGCAGAAGCAAAACUAUAACCCAAACUGCAGUGUUGAAGGACACACACACAUCUUAAAGGGAGAUGACUACCCUGCUUAUCUGAGUUUAGUUUAUCCAAACUCAGUGUACUUUUUGCUAUAACAGACUAAUUGGACUCUGAACAAUAAUUAUUUUCUUUAUGGGAUAUUGUGGACUGUACCACUGUUUAACUAUCCUGACAUUUUGUUGCAUUGCUAGGCUUGGGUAGAUUUAUGUAUAGACCAGUCCCAUAGACUGUUAAUCUGUGCAGUUGGCACCUUUGCACACUACGCAGACUGGCUGUAUCAGGAAGCCAAAUCCACUCUAAUGUUCUAAUUAUAUAGAUAUACAUAUAAAAUGCUUAGUAAAAAAUCAGUACCUUUAACUUCAAUGGUACUGUUCACAUGAGUAAAGUAAAGUACAUGUUGAAAAUUAACGGCUAGCAUAAGUAAGAUCUUCUUAAAUUCCCUUCCCUAUACCAUGUGAUAAUAUAAAUGUAAUAUUUUUCUUAAAUAAAGAAGCUUUGCUACCUUGCCAACAGAUAUCGGGCAGAUUUUUCACAGGGUUUCACAAAACACACUUCAAUAAUAUUAAAAAUACCUUCUGAUUUUCAGUAUAUUUCAAUGGUAGCUUGCUUGCUUAAGCACUACAAUCUUUAUAGAGGAGACUGCUUCCAUUAUUAGUUUCAGAGCACAUACAAUCUUUGCUUGUUACUUAGUUUUAUUUCAAGGACUUGGUUAAAAGGGGCUCUUUAUCAAGGGAGUAGUGUUCCAAUCUAACUCCCGUUAUGGUUAGUGGAAGUAUUUCUAUUUCCCUUCUUAGAAGAGUGGUGGAGAGCGAAAAGAUUAAUUUUAACCUCAUCACUGGUUGAAAACUGGUCUGAGUUAUCAGCAAGAAAAAGUGACCAUAUUGGGUGUAGUCAGUUUGGCCACACUGAGAACAGGUGUUUGUGCCAAAAAAAGCACUAGAACAAGUGGUUCCCCGCGGCAGUGUCAGGAAGCUGGCACAGAGUGAUGCUCCUGCCAGCAUCCCCAGGGAAGCCCAGGCACCCAGAGGUCCCAGCAGCCAGCAGGUUCCAGAUUAUCUGCUUCUUACAGGUACAUCACAAUACAUCACUAGAAGCUUACUAAUGCAAAUAGUAUGAACACAUUUUUGUGUUUCACUUUGGUGAACUUGUUAUCCAAAAUCAUUUAACAAAACUGCAGUGUAAACAUAUGAAAUAUUACUUCAUGUGAAUUAGUUUGCAAGUACUGCUUUGAAUACAGAAAGAUUGAGGAAGAUAUGAACCCUUGUUUCUGGCAUCUAUAUGUGCAUAUAUUAACUAGAAUGUGGCACAUUACAAUUUUUACCGUGGUCAGGGCAAAAUGAAUUGUUCUAUAAAGUUUAUUAUUUGAAUACUUGCCUAGUUCUAAUGUUACAUAGAUUUGAGGGAACUCCAGGUAUAUGCUUCACAUAAUCCUACUUGCAUACUUCAUAAUAUUAAGGCCAAAAAGACAAUGAAAUAAUUUUAGCCUGACUCCUUGUGUAACAGAGGACACCAGACCUACUGUAUUGGUAUGUUUCAUAUAUUCUCUUUACAUAAGGAAAUAGAUAAGAAUACCAUAAGUAAGCCAUGCAACUUGGACACUUGCAAAAUAUUAGGACAUGUACAAUAAGAUUAUAGAUGGGAAGUAAAUCACUGUAGUCCAGUACUUAGAACAUUUACAUGUAGCCUGUGACUGGGAUAAAUUUUGUCUUAGUCAUAUCAUUGUAUUGUUAUGCAUUACAGCAUCUUUGUAUGCCAUCCAAAACAUCUUGUACUUGCCCUGUCAAAGACAAAAGCUGUGAUUAAAUGGACUGCUGGCACUUUCUCUAUUCUGAACCUUCCUCUUUUCCUUUGAUUUUCUUUUCUGCCCAGCUUCCAGUUCUGAAAGCAAUGUACACAGUCAACUAUAAUGAAAAUGUAGUUAAAAUAGAGGUCAGUGUGACCAAUCCCUUAGACAACUGUUGAUCUUCACAUCUGUCUCCUUCCUAAAAGUGUACUGGCCUGACUUUUUCCUGAAGUUAUACACCUUAUCUUUACAGUGCAGCAGCUAGCAAACUAAUAAGUGCUAAAAUAA